GAUGAACGCUAGCGACAGGCCUAACACAUGCAAGUCGAGGGGCAGCACAUGCGUAGCAAUACAAUGGUGGCGACCGGCGCACGGGUGAGUAACACGUAUGCAACCUACCUGUAAGAGGGGAAUAACCCGGAGAAAUUCGGACUAACACCGCAUAAUACCUCGAAGCUGCAUGGCUUUGAGGUUAAAUAUUUAUAGCUUACAGAUGGGCAUGCGUAACAUUAGAUAGUUGGUGAGGUAACGGCUCACCAAGUCAACGAUGUUUAGGGGUUCUGAGAGGAAGGGACCCCACACGGGUACUGAGACACGGACCAGACUCCUACGGGAGGCAGCAGUGAGGAAUAUUGGUCAAUGGGCGAGAGCCUGAACCAGCCAAGUCGCGUGAAGGAAGAAGGUUCUAUGGAUUGUAAACUUCUUUUGUAAGGGAAUAAAAAAGCUUACGUGUAGGCUAUUGUAUGUACUUUACGAAUAAGGAUCGGCUAACUCCGUGCCAGCAGCCGCGGUAAAAC
rnacentral:rRNA from 1 species